CAUGGCUUUGCUACUCUGGGUCUCCUGUGUUUUAUUUGGCAGGUUAUUGGGCAGAGUCUCUGGUGUUGGGGGUCGCAUGUGGGCUUCCAAUUUCUCCCAAAAUGAGGCAAAGAUUGUGUUCAGCCGGAGCUCCGUUUCCUUCCAUGCACUGCAUAGGCUGGCAGUGUGGCGGGCAUCCGCCAUCUUGAGGGCCUCGCUGGAAGUAGGC